rnacentral:rRNA from 1 species
UACGGGGGGGGCAAGCGUUGUUCGGAAUUACUGGGCGUAAAGGGCUCGUAGGUGGCCAACUAAGUCACACGUGAAAUCCCUCGGCUUAACCUGGGAACUGCAUCCGAUACUGGAUGGCUUGAAUCCGGGAGAGGGAUGCAGAAUUCCAGGUGUAGCGGUGAAAUGCGUAGAUAUCUGGAGGAAUACCGGUGGCGAAGGCGGCAUCCUGGACCGGCAUUGACGCUGAUGAGCGAAAGCCAGGGGAGCAAACGGG